UUAGGGUCAAAUUUGAAAUUUGCUUUGUUUACUUAAAUGGUAACAUUAAACUUUCAAUUUCAAGUAAUUGCUCAAAUGAUUUAUUAGUAAUAAUAAAUUUAACUCAAUGAUUAACUUCUUCAUCUUUUUAACCAAAUCAACACAAUUAACCACAUACCCAACACACACUAUAAUCAAGUUGAAAUAUUUGGAAAGUAAAUGGUGAUCAUCUCUUCAUGUUUACAGUAUAAACAAUUCAAUAUAUGGCUAUCUAACCAAUCAAGUUAAUUAAAUUAAACAAUUGUUUUUGGCCUGACUGCUGAUGAAUUGGCUAUAAGCUGGAGAGAAACUGGAAGAAUGACCAACUUGGCAACUUUCAUCAACACUUGAUUGACCAGUCAAUGAAUUGAAAACCACCAAUUAAGGGUCAGCAAUCAUCGAGAAGCAUCAAUGUUUAUUAAUUCAAUUGAUGAAUUACACGAUGUAAUUGAGAUUAUUAAUUUAAUUUUGUGGUUUAUUGAGUAAAUUGAUUUUGAUCAUGAACAGUCUUCUUUUCCCCGUUCAUAAUUGGUCAUUUGAUGAAGUGAACGAGAGUUUGGUUAAUAUAUAUCCGAUUACGUGAUUGAUUAUGGAUUCAUGACCACGUCAAUCAAACACCAGUAAAAUCAUAAUCAACAUUGAAAUCUAAUUCUCAUUAAAUAAAAGAAAAAGCAAACAAUUUUAAUGUUAA